rnacentral:sRNA from 1 species
UGUGUGUGUGUGUGUGUGUGUGUGUGUGUGUGUGUGUUGUAUGUAUGGGCAAGCACAUGCCCAUGUACACACGUGCAAUAAAAAUUUCAUAUUUAUAAGUGAAAAUUAUUUUAAUAGCAUAUUCUAUAGUUGUUUGCAACAUAUAAGCUAUUAUACCUGUAUUAGAAAAUAUUAGAAAGGUCUGAAGUCAGUGGUGCAAGAAUCUAUGUUAUAAACUAAGAGAAAGCAAAUUAAUUCUACUUGAAAGAAAACAGUGGUAAACAUGAAGAUUAAAGCUAUGCUAUAGACAAAAUAAAGAAGCAAAAGGUAAUUAAUCUCUUGGGGAAAUCUUAAUAAAAUGGAUAAAUAUCUAUCCAGGGAUUAGAAAUGAGAGGAGACAAUUCUAUUGCAUGGGUUCAACUCAGUUUGAACCCUGUGACAUAUAUAAAUUAGACAAGUUGCUCUGAGGGAUAUACAUAGGGCUGGGGACACAGGAUAGGAUAGAGUGCUUCUAGUAUGAAUAGGCCCUGGAUUUAAUCCCUGCCAUCAGCCUGUAGGACAUACAUAAUUAAUCAAGCAAUACAGAAGCAUAGGCUGAACAUUCAAAUCACUCUAAGUAUGCUAAACAAAUUGAAUUUGUUUUUAAAGGAUCUUUCAGUACACUCUGCCAUGAUGCUGACAGACCACAUGUGAGAACCUGUCAGGCUGUGUGUCCUGUGAGCAAGGUAGCAUGGUGCUCUUGAUUAAUGCUUGUCCACCGUAUUGAUUAAGUGACAUGGUACAAACUAGGAGUAUUAACCUUGGGAAAAACAACUGAUAAUUAAUUAGUUCUUUCUUUAAUUAGGAACAUAUGAUCUUUUCUCAAACUUGCUUCAGAAAAUGUGUGUCUUUUCUAAUUAGAGAGCUUCAGUUUUUGUGUUUAUGAAAUUAUAUGUAAAUACGUGUGUGUUGGGGUUUUCUGCAUGAACAUAUGAAUCAGGCUGGGCAUAAGUAGGGUUCUACUGUUUCUGGACAUGCUGCUUUAACCCAUUGUGAGAAUUAAACCAAGACGAUGCUAUUUUUAGCAAUAGCAAUUAGGUUUUUGGUCUUGGAGCAGAAAGAGGGAUAGAGUAUCUGUAUAUGUUUAUAUGUGUGUCUGUGCAAGAGUGAGACCUUUCUAACAUGGUCCUCUCUUCAAACACCAAAUUAGAGGGGAUGUGGAGGUAGUUCAGUUAGCAGUGACUGCCUUUUAUGCUUAAGACCCUAGGAUCUCUCAGUAGUACCUCAAGCACAGCAUGUUGGCACAUGUUGUAACUCCAGCAAACAAGAGGUGGAGGCAGGAGGAUGAGAAAGUCAAGUCGUCCUGGGUUGUAUAAGAAAGCAGCCCUAGCAAGGAAGUUUCUGGAAUGAAUUGAGGUUGAAGAACUGUCCCAAGCUUUGUGGCACCAUUGCAUGGGGAGGUUUCCAAACCGAGCAAAGAGGUGACAGUCUACUGAGCAAGAAGUUUUCUUUGCCUCCUGAGUCCAGAUGCAGCACUGCAGCUGCCUCUCACUACUGCUCCAUGCCCCCUCUUUGCACCAGGAUUGACUGUGCUUUCUAACUGGGAUAUAAAAUAAAGCCUUCCUUUCUUAAGUUCUUUUUAUCAGGUGCUUUGUUAUAACAAUAAGAAAAGUAACCAAGAGAGUCUCUAGCUUAGCUUCAGUGGGAAGGGCUAGAGUAACCAUUUUCAUAUCACAGAAGGCUGUAGGGAACUCUGCCAGUUUUUGGAGUGCUGUAUGUGAGGUGUUUAUUAACCAUGUAGAAGAGUCACUGGAUGGGGGACUUUAAGAGUCUGGAACUCUCAGGUCUUAAAGUAAGAGCUUUGGGAGUUGAGAAUAUAUUUAUUUAUAGUGAACUUUAAAAACUUGGAAUGGUCCAUGAUUUUAACCAUUAUUCUUUCACAUAAAAUUUUCUUUAAUAUUUCCACCUUUCCAAGAAAAAGUCAAAUAAGGAAGGAGAUAAAAGAAUGGGUAAUGGGAACAUAAGAUAAAAUGCAUUAUAUUUUACAUGAAGUCAAAAGAAUAAAUAAGCUCAGAGCAUUAUAAAUAAACUGUGGCCUUUUUCAUAGGAUCUUUGGACUGGAUCUAUCUGUCUUUCAACACCUUGUAUUCAUUUAAACAAUUUCUUGUAGUAAGAGUUUAUGCUGUUUUUGUCCAAAUAGUUCAUCCACAUUUCUUGACAAUAAUAUUUUUAGGUUUCUUCUCUUUUUGUAGUCAUUGUUUGUCUUGCUGAAGUGAAGUUCUGAAGGGUUUUACUUUUCAAAAGGUAUUAAUACUUGUGGGGUUUUCUUUCUCUAAAACUAAAUGCAAACACUUUAAAGCAGCAUCCUGCUUGGAUCUUUUGAUUACUUUUAUAGGGAUAAAUUUAUUCCAGCUUCAAGGGAUACUUAUAUUUGUCCUUCUAAUAUUUGUAUUUCUUUUUCAUGCCAAGAAGAGAGCUCUGAAAUGCUUGGUAUAGAGCACUGAUAAAGGGAGGACAGGUGACCUGCAGUGCUGUAUUCAGUGCUGAUAAAGGGAGGGCAGGUGACCUGCAGUGCUAUAUGCAGUGCUGAUAAAGGGAGGGCAGGUGACCUGCAGUGUUGCAUGCAGUGCUGAUAAAGGGAGGGCAGGUGGCCUGCAGUGCUGUAUGCAGUGCUGAUAAAGGGAGGGCAGGUGACCUGCAGUGCUGCAUGCAGUGCUGAUAAAGGGAGGGCAGGUGACCUGCAGUGCUGCAUGCAGUGCUGAUAAAGGGAGGGCAGGUGACCUGCAGUGCUGUAUGCAGUGCUGAUAAAGGGAGGGCAGGUGACCUGCAGUGCUGUGUGUAGUCUACCUGCUUUGGUUUCUUUUUAUGUUUAUCUCAAUUUUUUAUGUUGUCCUUUUAAAAGUUGACUUUCUCAUACUAUUUUUAGUGCCGAUAGGAGAAUUAUCCCAGUGUGUGUUUUCUGUGUGGUAUGAUUGAUUUUUUUUUCGACCAUCACAAUCUUAUUCUUUGACUUGCUAGUGGAGGCAGUGAGAAACCGGCAGUUUCCCUGCUGAGUCAGCAUAUAAUCUUCAUGAGUGCAGAAACAAAUUUAAGUCAGUCAGUGCAAAACCAAGAUAUGACAAGCUUCCCAUGAAUGCUAAGACUCUAGAUAUAUUUACUUAAAACCUUUACAGCCUCUCCCAUUCAACAAAGAACCAAAAAAAAAAACAUUCUUUUUAAAAUAAUUGCUGUUUAAAACCUGACUUUAUUUCCAAAAUAAGAUAUUCUAUAUAUUUAAAUAUACUUGUUUUUAAAAUUCCUAAAAAUAUAGAACUAGUUUUCCGCUCUGCGGAUGAUUAUAGAUCAGAAAAUAACCUACUGAUGCAGCUUAGUUUCCUAUAACACGUUAUCUUGACCAUGUGAGGGAACUUUCACGUUUUCUGUUUGCGCAGUUACGUUUUUUGCGACCUUUCAUCCUGAGUCAGCAGCGUGGCUCUCUGAAACAUUAGGACUUUGUCCUGGCAAGGGUCAAUUUGUAGAAAGCUUUUAGUCGGUCUGCACUGCCUGGUUUAUAUAGCCAAACACCUGCUGAGCAAGCCCUGUGAGUAGCUGUGCAUGCUUCCACACUUGGGUUUUGCAGGGCGGGAACACAAAGACCGCGAUUGUUACCCAGGAAGCCUGAGUCACACACGUCUACCAAUCGCCUUAGGAGGGCUGGUUACCAUGGAAUCCACCAUCUGUUCACUCCCCGCUGCCGGAAUGUGAUUAUCCUCGCUGGGCUGGGAACAUAGGGUUAGCAGGGGAUCCUGUGUGGUGUGAGAUUAUCUGCAGUGCACUGGGCUAUUGGGAGAUUUCAUUCUGCUCACUGAAAGAACAAAUGAAGGGAGUUGUUCUCCAGCCAUUUGUGACUUGUAACCACAAGGAAUAACCAGCUUCUCUAAGCUCCUUAGAAUGUGUGCUGCAUGUUGUAAGCUGCAGAUGGAAAUUAUGGUCUUAGCAAACGGAUGACUGACAUUUCCCUGUGGCUCAGAGGUCGGUAGCUCAAACAAGGGGCUACUAUGUCUUUUGUAAAGCAGCAUUGUGUCUCCUUCCCCCAAACUGUGUCCUAAAAUAUAAAAGUGUAAAACAAAACCAGCUGUAUGCUCUGGAGACUUCUUUUGUGUCAGUGUUCCUGCCCUUGAAAACCCAGCAUUAGCACCCUGAGUUCAGCGGAUCUGCCAUUUUGUGUGCUGUAUGAGAGGCUGUAAUUAGAGGUUCUGCCUGUGCAAUUCAGUCAAACUUGAACCAUUCUUGAGUGUUUACCUUAGUGAGCCAGUGGCUACCUAGAGAACAAGAAACAGUCAGUGGUCACAGGCACUAUGCUUUUCCCUUCCUCUUAACAGUAUGGAACUAGUUGACCACGGUAUUAGUUAAGGACACAUGCUUGUAUUUCAUUAAGAGUUUCUCAAGCCUAACUGUUUUUGUGGAUUCCUGGCAUUAGCUGUGGUUGAUGUUAGUAUUCUGCACUUACAGUUUUUGAAAUACGCAAAUUAAUCUAGGUACAUACUAUCUUUAAGAAAUAGCUUUCAACAAUAGUAGACAUGUAUCUGCCUGAAAGCGUCUUUAAUAACUAUACAGUUUGCAGCUAAUCUUGUGUAAUAGAAAAAAAAUCUCAAAAUCAAUAAACAAUUUAAGGUUUAUAAGGUCAAAUCAUGUAUAUUUGUGGCAUUAUUGUUGCUUUAAUUACUCUGUAUCUUAGAAACCAGUGGUGAAAUGUGCCUUAGCUGUGGUUUCUUAGGCCACUAAAUGGGCAAUUAAAACCUGCACUUCGCCAGUUGGCCAUGUGUGACUUCAAUUACCCACAGUUACCCACUUCAAUUCACAAGGUGGUGCUUGUAAGUGGACGCCCAUCAGGAGGACAUUGUAGAUGUCGGUAGGUAUACUGGAAAGCAGAUUUAUUAAGAUCCUGCUUGUUCAGGUUCCAAGCAUAACAAACAAUAAACACACAGUCUGAUUAAACGUGAUGAAAGUCUUUUAGAAAAAUCUUCACACAGUAAAGGAAAUGGGAAACGUGGCCUGGCUUGAUGUAAAACAGCCCCAGGGCCCAACUAUCUUACCUACAGGAGCACAAAACCUUCCCAGAAAUCCCAGACGGAUAUGAACUGGUAGGAAAAAGGGCAACCCCUCGCUAAAAGGCUCAUUGAUCAGUGAUUCACUUACGACUUUAUAAUGGGAUUUUUAUUCUGUCUUAUGUAAGUAACACGACAAGUAUUUUCCUUUUCUAUAAUUAAGAAUUAUCCAUAUCUGGGUACACUUAAGGCAUAAUACAUCGAAAGACUAGAAUGAGAUAAUUUUAUGCAUCAGCACGAUUCUGCGUUGUUGUCUUAGAUGCAAAGCAUAUCUCACAGGCUCGUGACAAGUGUAAGUUAGGCAGAAGCUGCAUAUGGGGCGCGGCCUCCGCUUGCCCGAGAUUCCAGUACUACUGUUGUGAGUUACCCUCUUAGGUUUCAUAAUGACUCCUGAGCUGCUCUGCUCCAAAAAGACAAGGUUUCCUUAAUGUUUGCAGAGGGUGUAUAGAAUGAUGUGUGUGGGCUACAAGGAACAGCUUCUCCCUCCCUCAAUUCCUGUCACCUUAUCCUCCAGUUAGUGAAAGUGAGUCCUGGGAAAGUGUCUAGAAGUACAUCAUUCUUAAACAAGUUUUUGUCUUGGCACAAACGGUCACAUUGUAGUGCUUUGCUCCUCCGUGAUCGAUCAUGUGUUGGAUCACUGACUUCCCCUAUGUUUCCUUAUCUGCCUGAACCCCUUCUGGCUUUAUUAUUUAUUUGGUUUUACAGAAUUCCUAGGCUUGGACUCAGACUACUAUUCACCUAGAUAGUCAGACUAAUUUGUAGUAUUUUUCCAAUCCCUAUUAUAAAUCUCUAGAUUUCACAUUUCUGUAAAGAUCCCGAUAGAAACAGAGCCAUCUAGUUUGUAACCCAAUUUGAGAGAAGAAUUUCAGGCCUGUAAAAUACAACGUCAUUCUAGGUCUCAAAUCCUGUGGAAUUGCUCAUAUUGGUUAUGGUGGGUUAAGUAUUAAGACAAGAGCAGAGUCUGCUGAUUUUGCUACCCCGAUGCAGAGCAAGCAUGGCGUGGGGAGGGUUACCCUAAAAUACAACUGGUAGAAUUUCCAGAAUUUAGAGAGAACAUAGGUCUUAACAUAAUGUUCUCAAUUAUGAAAUUCACAGGGCUUCUUAUUAUGAAUUCUUGACAUUUUAAAAAACAUGACUAUCAAAGCAAGCAGAUACCUGCAUGCUUAAUUUGUAUGUUGUGUCUCCCUAUGGCUGUCUCUAUCUGAAACAUUAAAUGAUGAUCAGAAUCUUGCUGGAUGAUUCUGAGGUUGAUGAUGGAUAAACAGGAAGGAAAGACAGUUCAAAGGGCAGGGAUAGUUCCAUUCUAGGGCACAUUUUGGUCACGGAGAUGCUUAUCCUGUAGUGACUCAGUGGGGUUCUUCUUUGUACAUCACAAAUGUUCAGCAUUCUCAGUUUAACUUAAUUCCCAUCCCCUCAGUUCCUUCACCAACCACGUGUUCCACCUUUCCUGGUACCCCCUUCACAAUAUCAAGACAUUCUUUCUUUGAAGAGGUUACUGUCAUUAGUGUUAACUUUUCAUUUCUUUGUAAAAUACUUUAUUGAACAUUGACCUUGAGCUGUCAUUGUGCAUCUGGAGGGUUUAGUAGUAGGGGCAAGGCCAUUAGUGAAAUUCUCAUGAAAGAGGGACAAGACAUAGUAAAAGUUAAAAAAAAAUGAGCUUUAAGCAGUGUCAGUUCUGUGGAGACAAGUACUGAGGGGAUAGGGGACAGUAGACUUUAGAUUAGGUAAUUGGGAAUUGUCUAUUUAAAAAAGUCUCAUUUAAGAGGGAGACAUUAAAUUAUAAGACAACCACAUGUGAUCCAAUUCUGUCGGGGAGUUGUCCUCACUUUACAGGGGAGAAGAUGGAGGGUGCAGUCAAUAGGAUUUUAUAAAAGUUUUGCUAAAGGGCUGGUGUCCGGGGGGUAAAGAUGCUUGCUGCCAAUCUUGAGGACUGAAGAUUGAUCCCUGGGAUAGUUGCAUGGCAGAAGGGAACCAGUUUCCUCAGCUUUUCCUUUCACAUCUACAUGCAUGCCCCUUCUUCCAAACACGAACAAGAAAAAUGCAGUUAGUCCCUCGUGCUAUGGAUGGGCACUGCUGAUACAUUUUCUUUCCUAACUUAGUGCUGCUGUGUAUCAAACCAAGAUGUUAAUAGGCAUGCUUGAGAAGGUAUUUUAGGGUAGUGGGUUUGAACAGGCAGCAUUUUUAAGUCCAGGACACAGCCAGACAUCAUGGCUCACAUUUGUAAUAUCAGCACUCAGAAGGCUGGGGGUGAAGAUUGCUGUGAUUUGAAGGCCAUAUCUUAUUCUUGGUAUUUAUAUUCUAAAGUCAACACACAAAGUGAAACUUGUGUAGUCAGAAAUGUCCUUGAGAAAUCCCUUAGGAAGGCAUAACUGCAAACUGAUCUUGUCAAAGUCCAACACAGUGAAUGUGAAUCCUACCCUAGGUGAGAUAAGAUGAUUAUAUUGCUUGAAUUAAGGAGCUGAUAUUUUAUGUAGGCCUAGAAUUAAGCUCAGUGUGCUGAGGACUCACAUUUGGAGUCACAUGACCAGGAGGAAUCAAAGCAGCACCUGCUUUGUAGUCUCUCUCUGCUCCGUCACCCCAUACAUAUACACACCACACCAGAGAGCACCUUUGAGCAUGCUCUUUCUCAUACACAGCUGCCUCUGUCUCUGCAAAGCAUACCUAGUUCAACUUGAGCAAGAUGAGUCAUCAUCGACUAGAAGAUGAACUUUAUUUCUUUACACUUUUUGUGGAUUUUAAAUUAUUAAUAAUGGCUUUACAGAAAUUUAUGAUAAAUAUAAAAGUUCAUAGGCAAAUUAAAAAUGGGUAAUGAAGAUCAACCUCUUUAAGUAAUGGUUACAAGAGGCUAUUUUGUGUUUACAUUAGGGAUAUAUAGUAGUAAAAACAUUAAUAAACUUCCUAAUAAUUGUGCUAUUUUUAAAGUUGUUAAAAAACUUUAUUAUUACCAUUUGUAGUCUGAUUAAAAAGUUGCAUAAAUAUUGGUAAGAAACAUUACAGAGAAGAAUCAGGGGUUGGGGAUUUAGCUCAGUGGUAGAGCACUUGCCUAGCAAGCACAAGGCCCUGGGUUCGGUCCCCAGCUCUGAAAAAAAAAAAAAAGAAAAGAAAAGAAAGAGAAGAAUCAAAUACCAGGUGACUAUGGAACGAAAUGACUUGUGAAGUCCUUCACUAUCCUAAUGCUGUUAGGAAAAUUCAGCUUACUCUGCAAAAAUUAUUUUUAAGAUGCUUAGUUAAACGAUAGAGAAGGAUCCCGUGAUAUAAGCCACAUCACUUUUAUGGAACCAUGCACAAUAAUGCAGAAGUCUUUAGAGUAUAGGAUUAAGCAGCAGGCGGUGAGUCAUAUCUUGAGGGCUGAUAAUGCUUUCUGGAAAGACUGUAGGACACUAAGCCAUAGUUUUUAUGUCCUGUAGUUGUCUUAUUGUCUCCUCUGUUGCUAUGACCAAAGGCUUAUUUUGGCUCUGUCCCAGAGAGAUAGAGUCCUUCAUGGACAGGAAAGUGUGGCAGCAGAAGCGUGUAGCUGACCCGACAGUCUGGUAGCACAGUGGAACCAGGAAGUGGGACCAAGCUGUGACACUUCAAAGCCUUCUCCCAGUGUCCUACACCUCCUGCAAAGAGAGCCACCAGCUGGGGUCUAUGUGCUCAAACACUAGCCCUACAGUGGACUUUUCUCAGUUAAACACAGCAAUGGCUAUAGUAAACUAUGGCAGCAAUGCAUUGACAGUUUGUACUGUAAAAUCAGCCUGUACUGUAAAAUGUAACCUUCAGAUAUUACUAUAUUCAAACCGAAGCUCUAUAAUCUGGGAGUGCCUGAACGGAGUUGGCACUAAUGUAAAGUUGUGCUAAAGACAUUCUUUUCUCUUGAAAAUGACAACUCCAUAAACAGUGAGCUGACCCCUUAAUCAAAAUUGGUGUUUAAUAAAGCUGACUUUUUUCCUUUAACAUAAUUGAAGGACAUGAUAUUUGCAUAAAACUUGUAGUAUCGAGCAGAUCAAAUGGAAUCUCUCGACGUCAAAGUGAGAUGGAUUAGUUUUCAUGGCUAUUGCUAUGAUAAAGAAAUAAAAAUAGUCUUGCCCUAAAUAAUCUAACCUUAGGAACUGAAACGUAUCAGCACAAGGUUCUUAAAAGUGAAAUGGUAUUGGAAGAUGGUAUGGCUACAGAAAGAGAAAGAAGGGCGCAUGCCCUGUUCACAAUGAGAAAGAUGUCGCUUUUGAGACAUUGGCUCCUAAGAGUGAUAUGGUUUGUCAGGUGGUUAAAGAUUUCCAAUAUCAGAGAAACAUACAUAAAAGGUCAAAAGUUAUAAAAGACUAAUACAAGUUUGCAAUAUAAGAUGAUGAAAUUGGGUGUAGGACUGCAGUAGUAAGGAACUGGAGGAUUACAGCUUUUAUUGCUGUAAGCCAUGUCUUGGAGGUGGGAGUUUGAGGAACUCACUGCGAUUGGUGAGAAGUUCUGUGUAUAAUCUAGAGCUUUACCUUUGGCAUUUCCCCAGGGAGCAGUGGGAUGACAGGUCACCAGAAUUCAGGCAGUGACACUAAGGACAUAGAAGAAGGGACAGAACUUUCAGUAAAAUUUUUAGGACUUAGCUAUAAAUUGGACAUGUGAAUAGUGUUGGAAGAUAAAGAAGUGUUGAGGACAGCUUGAAUGUGCGUAGAUGAAAUAUCGUUAGCUAAUACUAGUGACACAGAGGGCAUGGAGUUCGACCCCAUGUUUGACUUCUCAUCACGGGUCUAACUGGUCAGAUACCUUUACUUUUUAAAUAAUUAAACUUGUUCUUUGAUAAUUUCCUAUAGUGCAUUCUAAAGACUGUCACCAUCACCCCCUUAUGUCCCUCAUAUCCUAGAGCCUGUCACCCCCUCCUGUAAGUCCCUUUCCUCCAUUUCACUUUUAAAUUAGCGUAUAAGGUUAGGUGUCAUCCUUGCACUUAUUAACAAAGUGUGCUUUGGUGAUUCUCCUUCCUUCCAUUCUGCCCAGCCCCUGAGUCCCAAGUGAGGCCAGUGUUCUAGGUUUGCUGGCCUGUCUCAGCAUAGUUCUGCCAAGAACUAGCAGAGCCAGGAAAGGAAAGUAAGAGAUUUAAGGGUAAGUUUUUAAUUAUCUUCCUACAUUAACCUCUAAAAGGAAGACAGAAACCCCCAUUUGUCUGCAUUUUAGGACCAGGCCUGAUUUCAAAAAGAAAGUCAUCAGUCCCUGGAGCUAGGCCGUAAGUCACCAGCUCCAGGAGCAGACCAUAAAUUGCAGGAACAAGGUCAUAAAACCCCCCUCCCAAAGUACAUCCUGGAGAUAACCACACAAAAAAAAAAAAUCUCAUGAUGGACCACCUGUGCUGGACGGCCUUAUCUUAUCCUGUUAAGUGUUCAUGACAUAGGAGUGCAGACCACUGACCACAAGCCAAUCAAUCAAAAGCUGACCCAUGUGACCUCCCCAGCGCUCACCAGUGAAAUUUCAGACUACCUUACCUACUCUACAAAUAUAGAAGAACUAACAUAGUUGCCAAUCAAGAUUGUACAAAUAUCACCACUUUGACCCCUAAAGUCAUAUUAGAGCUUACCUAAUCCUUCUAGAAAAUUCUCCCAGCCCAGCAUAAAAAGGGGCCUGUGAGCUCCACCAUAGUCAUCAUCUUCAUGAAUGGUUGGUCCUCACAUGCUGGCUGUUUCUGCAGAGUAAACACUCUGUCUUCGCACGUUAUUUGAGUCUGGGGUCUUCAGGGAUUCUCAUACCCUUACACCUCUACAUCUCACAUCCAUGACCAUUUAAAAUGGUUGAUUGCAAGUGGCUAAACUCUUGCUGAAGGCGAAGACAGAAAACAGCCUUUGUCUGAAUUCACAGCAAAAAGCUAAUAUGUGCCUACAUUCAUGGAAAGUCUGGCUCUAAGGAGUUAGCUGCUGUGUCACACACAUUUCAGUUACAAGAUACUGAAGCAGUGUGAAUGUUGAGGACAAAAAUGGCUACAAGAUCUUGGGUUUUGUUGUAAAAUGUUAGGAAGGAAUAUUGCCAUUAAAUUAAACUCCUUAAUGUUUGUAUUCUCUUCUCUGAGUUCUCACAGUGCUCUGAAGUGUAUCACCGAGAUGCUUGAUGCAGUUCAUGUAGGGCAGAGCAGGUCUACUUAUAGUCUUGAUUUGAUUUGAUAUGAUUUGUAACUCAAUGAAGAUGUUUGGAGACAAGCCACAUAGCCUAGAAACAUCAAAAGAAAAUACUCAGUAUUUCACAAAUGCAUACACUAAUAGAGACAAUAGUAUUCACCCUACUCAUACAAAUUAUAUACAAAUCUAGUCUAUGAUACAAUGAGACUGUCCAUGAUUCCUACGUUGCUCCAGUGUCUCUACUUUUAGUUUACCAGAGAAAACUAGUUUUUCCAAAUGUCUGAUAGGCAUCAGCCCAUUCUUGUUCAGUUCUCCAUGAUGAGCAAUAGGAAGUGGUAGAAUUUGCCUUGAUUAUCUAUGUAUUCCUAAAGCUUUGUGGUAGAAAUUGCAAGACAAAAAAAAAAAAAA